ensembl:lncRNA
ACCUUAGUAGAGCUGAGAGGGAGAGAGAGAAUGCUGGGUGAAAUAUGUGCAGGGCACAUGUCCUACAGUGGAGGUGUUUGAGAACCAGGUGAGAUGCUAGGGGGACAGAGAGACUCCUUUACAGUGGAGGUGUUUGAGAACCAGGUGAGAUGCUAGGGGGACAGAGAGACUCCUUUAUAGUGGAGGUGUUUGAGAACCAGGUGAGAUGCUAGGGGGACAGAGAGACUCCUUUACAGUGGAGGUGUUUGAGAACCAGGUGAGAUGCCAGGGGGACAGAGAGACUCCUUUACAGUGGAGGUGUUUGAGAACCAGGUGAGAUGCUAGGGGGACAGAGAGACUCAUUUAUCAUACUUGAGUAAAAGUAAAGAUACCCUAAUAGAAAAUGACUGAAGUAAAACUGAAAGUCACCCAGUAAAAUCUUACUUGAGUAAA